UCCCUGGUGGCUCAGACGGUAAAGCGUCUGUCUGCAAUGCGGGAGACCUGGGUUCGAUUCCUCGGUCGGGAA
rnacentral:tRNA from 1 species